CAAGACGUAGCUAUAACAAAAGCAUUCAGCUUACACCUGAAAGAUAUCUGUAGCCACACAGAUCGUCUUGA
rnacentral:tRNA from 1 species